rnacentral:rRNA from 1 species
CUACGGGCGGCACCAGUGAGGAAUAUUGCGCAAUGGGGGAAACCCUGACGCAGCGACGCCGCGUGGAUGAUGAAGGCCUUCGGGUCGUAAAAUCCUGUCAGAAGGAAAGAAGUGUAUGGUAGCUAAUAUCUGCCAUACUUGACGGUACCUUCAAAGGAAGCACCGGCUAACUCCGUGCCAGCAGCCGCGGUAAUACGGAGGGUGCAAGCGUUGUUCGGAAUUACUGGGCGUAAAGCGCGCGUAGGCGGUUUUAUAAGUCAGAUGUGAAAGUCCACGGCUCAACCAUGGAAGUGCAUUUGAAACUGUAAGACUUGAGUAUUGGAGGGGGUAGUGGAAUUCCCGGUGUAGAGGUGAAAUUCGUAGAUAUCGGGAGGAAUACCGGUGGCGAAGGCGACUAUCUGGCCAAAUACUGACGCUGAGGUGCGAAAGCGUGGGGAGCAAACAGGAUUAGAUACCCUCGUAGUC